rnacentral:lncRNA from 1 species
UUGGCGAGCAGCGGGGAGCCCGGUACCGGCCUCGCGUGGGAGUCGCGUCUGUUCUCUCUCUGCCUAGGAACCGCCCUGCCCCCGCGGUGCAGCCCCUCAGGCGGGUUCUUCCUUCAGCGUGCUGUAAAUCCGUAAAACGCUGCAGCCCUUUCCCCGGACGUCUCCUGACCUGUAGUAGUAGCACCGCUGCCUGCCCCAGCAAGACAAGCCACGGGUUUUCUCCCGUUCACCGCUGAAGGACCUAUCUGCAAGGACUCUUGUGAUUUGAAUGAGGAGGAAUGUAUGUAGCAACAACUACUGAGUAUCCACUGUGGGCCCAGCUGCUCGCCUGCUCACCUGUCAUGUCAUUGGGUGUCAAUGGGAUUCAAGUUGCCAACUGUUGAAUUCACAUCCAAGUGAAAGGAGAGAUGAAGGAAAGUUCCGCUGAGUCCUUUGGAGACUUGACUCCCUCUAUCUCCUUUCCCGUUUCUCUCCACCUUACUCGUCUCACCUUCAUGAGCACCUUAUGUCAUGGUAACGAUCCCUGCGGGGAAGGCGAGUUGGACUCUGCUCCCUCUGGGGCCACCGGAGCUAUUGGAAAAGCUUGCUGCCAGCUGCGAGUCGCUCCUUCAGCCCUCGAGGCACGUUACCUAGAAAAUCUGAGAAUGGAUUGA